rnacentral:rRNA from 1 species
CGCACGGGUGAGUAACACGUAUCCAACCUGCCGUCUACUCUUGGCCAGCCUUCUGAAAGGAAGAUUAAUCCAGGAUGGCAUCAUGAGUCCACAUGUCCGCAUGAUUAAAGGUAUUUUCCGGUAGACGAUGGGGAUGCGUUCCAUUAGAUAGUAGGCGGGGUAACGGCCCACCUAGUCAACGAUGGAUAGGGGUUCUGAGAGGAAGGUCCCCCACAUUGGAACUGAGACACGGUCCAA